UCCGAGAUCGUCUAAUGGUAGGACAGCAGAUUCUGGCUCUGCUAAUCCAGGUUCGAGUCCUGGUCUCGGA
rnacentral:tRNA from 1 species